rnacentral:rRNA from 1 species
GAUGAACGCUAGCGGGAGGCCUAACACAUGCAAGCCGAGCGGUAUUUGUUCUUCGGAACAGAGAGAGCGGCGCACGGGUGCGGAACGCGUGUGCAACCUGCCUUUAUCUGGGGGAUAGCCUUUCGAAAGGAAGAUUAAUACCCCAUAAUAUAUUGAGUGGCAUCACUUGAUAUUGAAAACUCCGGUGGAUAGAGAUGGGCACGCGCAAGAUUAGAUAGUUGGUGAGGUAACGGCUCACCAAGUCAAUGAUCUUUAGGGGGCCUGAGAGGGUGAUCCCCCACACUGGUACUGAGACACGGACCAGACUCCUACGGGAGGCAGCAGUGAGGAAUAUUGGACAAUGGGUUAGCGCCUGAUCCAGCCAUCCCGCGUGAAGGACGACGGCCCUAUGGGUUGUAAACUUCUUUUGUAUAGGGAUAAACCUACUCUCGUGAGAGUAGCUGAAGGUACUAUACGAAUAAGCACCGGCUAACUCCGUG